rnacentral:misc_RNA from 1 species
CAAAAGGAUUGGCAUCAAGACUAGUGUUUUGGAGGAAAAAGCCACUGCUUGCAACAUGCUGUGUUGUUAUGCUGAUGAAUUAAAAGAAGGAUUUUUUGUCUGGAUUGAUCAGGUUGCUCCUACUUUAGUUCCACUUCUUAAAUUUUAUUUCCAUGAGGAGGUUAGGAGGGCUGCUGUUUCAGCCAUGCCAGAGCUCCUGCGUUCAGCAAAAUUGGCUGUUGAGAAAGGGCAAUCUCAAGGUCGUGAUGAAUCCUAUGUGAAGCAGCUGUCAGAUUAUAUUGUACCAGCUUUGGUGGAGGCAUUACACAAGGAGCCUGAGGUGGAGAUAUGUGCCAGUAUGUUGGAUGCAUUGAAUGAG